CCCUUAGAUGUUCUGGGCCGCACGCGUGCUACACUGAGUGGAUCAGCGGGUCAGGUUGCGCGAAAGCGUUUCCUAAUCUUUAAAUCCGCUCGUGAUGGGGAUUGACGGUUGCAAUUUUCUGUCAUGAACGAGGAAUUCCUAGUAAACGCAAGUCAUCAGCUUGCAUUGAUUACGUCCCUGCCCUUUGUACACACCGCCCGUCGCACCUACCGAUUGAAUGACUCGGUGAAAAAUUGGGACCGUGAGUCUGUUUGCUUCAUUGCGAGUGGAUUGAUGGGAACUUUUUUAAACCUCGCCAUUUAGAGGAAGGUGAAGUCGUAACA
rnacentral:rRNA from 1 species